rnacentral:rRNA from 1 species
UACGUAGGGUGCAAGCGUUAAUCGGAAUACUGGGCGUAAAGCGUGCGCAGGCGGUGAUGUAAGAACAGAUGUGAAAUCCCCCGGGCUCAACCUGGGAACUGCAUUUGUGACUGCAUCGCUGGAGUGCGGCAGAGGGGGAUGGAAUUCCGCGUGUAGCAGUGAAAUGCGUAGAUAUGCGGAGGAACACCGAUGGCGAAGGCAAUCCCCUGGCCUGCACUGACGCUCAUGCACGAAAGCG